rnacentral:sRNA from 1 species
UUCUAGCCCAGAUAGCAAUGGAAAGCUUUUUGAAAUGGCAACUAUUUUUUGUUGGUUAAAAAAGCGACCAACGGAAGCUCUUUUUUUACCUUACAGAAAAAGACAGCCGUAAAAAAACUUGUAACGGAUAGCUGGAUUAGCU